UACGUAGGGGGCUAGCGUUGUCCGGAAUCAUUGGGCGUAAAGAGCGUGUAGGCGGCCCGGUAAGUCCGCUGUGAAAGUCGGGGGCUCAACCCUCGAAUGCCGGUGGAUACUGUCGGGCUAGAGUGCGGAAGAGGCGAGUGGAAUUCCUGGUGUAGCGGUGAAAUGCGCAGAUAUCAGGAGGAACACCAAUUGCGAAGGCAGCUCGGGGACGUAACUGACGCUGAGACGCGAAAGCGUGGGGAGCAAACAGG
rnacentral:rRNA from 1 species